GAAAGACGACCCCCACUUGGUGGUAGAACGUGUCUGUUCACAGAUGAACAGGAGGCUGUCAUUGGGCAAAUGGUAGUUGAAAAUAAUGCCAUAAGACUGUGGGGAAAUCCAACAACAGGCUAUUGAAAACUAUGCCAUGUUCCAUAACAUCAGAGUGAACUUAUCAACCAUAGCCCGCAUCCUUAAAAACCAUCUCCGGAUGAAGCAGAUCUACAGAGUCCCAUUUGAAAGGAAUUUUCAAAAAGUGAAGGUUAAACGAGACUCAUGGAGUUGGAUACAAGUCCCAUCCCCCAGGAACUCAUACUCAUAGAUGAGGUUGGAUUCAAUUUAGUGACGAUGAGGAGAGGAAGGAGCAUCAUUGGUCAACGCGCUAUCAUUGAGGUACCUGGCCAGCGUGGGGUAAAUGUCACUAUAUGUGCAGCUAUGAGCCACAAUGGGGUCCUCCACCGCCAUGCCACCCUUGGACCAUAUAACACUGCCCAUCUCCUUAAUUUCCUGAACAUCUUAAAUGACAAUCUUUUUCAGCCAGAGCAGAGAAGGACAGGUGAUCCUGAACAGCAAAUGCAUGUUCUAAUUUGGGACAACGUGAGUUUCCAUCGGGCUGCUCAGGUCCGCAACAGGUUCCAUGACCAUCCCAGGAUUACAAUUCUCUAUCUCCCACCCAUAUUCCACAUUUCUCAACCCCAUUGAAGAGUAGUUUUCAGCAUGGCGGAGGAAGGUGUAUGAUCGCAAACCCCAUGAACGUAUGGCCCUUCUCCAGGCAAUGGAGGAGGCCUGUGGUGACAUUCCAGCAGAGUCCUGUCAAGGGUGGAUGAGCCAUGCCAGAAGCUAUUUUCCAAACUGUCUGGCCAAGGAGAAUAUCGCCUGUGAUGUUGAUGAAAAUCUGUGGCCGGACCAAAACAACAGACAUGACAGAUUUUGCAGUGGUGUAAAACAAUUAAGUAAAACAACUUUAAAGUACUACUUAAGUAGUUUAUUUGGGAAUCUGUACAUUACCAUUUAAUAUUUCUCACAACUUUUAUUUCCUAAAAAAAGUAAUGUACUCAAGUAGUAUUUUAGUGGGUGACUUUCACUUUUACUUGAGUCAUUUUCUAUUAAGGUAUCUUUACUUUUACUCAAGUAUGACAAUUGUGUCCUUUUUCUAACACUGAUUUUGUUUUUUCGCAAUGGAGUAUUUUGACAGUUUCUUUAUCUAUUCCGUACAAUUGAUCUAACGUACAGUAGUUCUUUUGCAUAUGCUAAAUAUAUUUACUGUAUGUUUGCUGUUUGACAUGUACUGAGUCAGGUUGAAAUAUAAAACAAACAUUUUUGCCUUCCUUGUUUGAGUACACACAAACAAUAUACAGUAUAACAACAAUCUUAGUCUUUACACUGAAACAGGUUUUGAGUAUGUCACAUUAGUGUGAUCUCGUUCGUCACUAAGUUAGAUUAAUUUGAUGAUGUGUGUGUCUCAUUUGUAUGCAGGGAGGACAUGAUUUUGAUUGCUGUGUUUCAUGUUGCAAGAUGUCUUUGGGGCUUGUGGAAAUUGGCUAAAAGUUGUGUGUUUAGAGUUGAGUACCUGAGAUGUAGUUACAGCAAACGUGUGUUAACAAUUGGGAAAAACUAAAUUGUUUUUUUACCCUCAACAAUCUACACACAAUACCCCAUAAAGAAAAAGCUCAAAUUUAGAAAUGUUUGCAAAUGUAUUAAAAAACAGAAAUAUCA